GAAGUCGUAACAAGGUAGCCGUACCGGAAGGUGUGGCUGGAUCACCUCCUUAAAGGGAGACCUAAUUCCGGUAGGAGACGAAAAAAAAGUAGUCCCUACCAAGAAUCAAUCCCAAAAGGUCGGAGCGAGGCAAAAUUGGCUUUCAAACUAGGUUCUGGGUUCACACAAGACCUGAAUCAGGAACAAGGGCUAUUAGCUCAGGUGGUUAGAGCGCACCCCUGAUAAGGGUGAGGUCCCUGGUUCGAGUCCAGGAUGGCCCACCUGCACAGGUGGAAGAAAGAAAAAAGCUCCGAAUCAGCGCCUUAUCUUACUUAUAUAGUAAGAGAGAAUGCUGGCUCUGAGUACAGAGUCCAGAGGAACCUUGAAAACUGCAUAGAGCUAGGUGAAAAAGCCAAAAAAGAAGACCGCAAGGUCAAGCUAAUAAGGGCUAACGGU
rnacentral:misc_RNA from 1 species